CCUACGGGUGGCAGCAGUGGGGAAUAUUGCACAAUGGGCGCAAGCCUGAUGCAGCCAUGCCGCGUGUGUGAAGAAGGCCUUCGGGUUGUAAAGCACUUUCAGCGGGGAGGAAGGCGGUGAGGUUAAUAACCUCAUCGAUUGACGUUACCCGCAGAAGAAGCACCGGCUAACUCCGUGCCAGCAGCCGCGGUAAUACGGAGGGUGCAAGCGUUAAUCGGAAUUACUGGGCGUAAAGCGCACGCAGGCGGUCUGUCAAGUCGGAUGUGAAAUCCCCGGGCUCAACCUGGGAACUGCAUUCGAAACUGGCGAGCUAGAGUCUUGUAGAGGGGGGUGGAAUUCCAGGUGUAGCGGUGAAACGCGUAGAGAUCUGGAGGAAUACCGGUGGCGAAGGCGGCCCCCUGGGCAAAGACUGACGCUCAGGUGCGAAAGCGUGGGGAGCAAACAGGAUUAGAUACCCGAGUAGUC
rnacentral:rRNA from 1 species